rnacentral:rRNA from 1 species
AUUGAACGCUGGCGGCAGGCUUAACACAUGCAAGUCGAGCGGGGUGAUGGUGCUUGCACUAUCACUUAGCGGCGGACGGGUGAGUAAUGCUUAGGAAUCUGCCUAUUAGUGGGGGACAACAUCUCGAAAGGGAUGCUAAUACCGCAUACGUCCUACGGGAGAAAGCAGGGGAUCACUUGUGACCUUGCGCUAAUAGAUGAGCCUAAGUCGGAUUAGCUAGUUGGUGGGGUAAAGGCCUACCAAGGCGACGAUCUGUAGCGGGUCUGAGAGGAUGAUCCGCCACACUGGGACUGAGACACGGCCCAGACUCCUACGGGAGGCAGCAGUGGGGAAUAUUGGACAAUGGGGGGAACCCUGAUCCAGCCAUGCCGCGUGUGUGAAGAAGGCCCUAUGGUUGUAAAGCACUUUAAGCGAGGAGGAGGCUCUUUUGGUUAAUACCCAAGAUGAGUGGACGUUACUCGCAGAAUAAGCACCGGCUAACUCUGUGCCAGCAGCCGCAGUAC